GGUUUCGCAGCUCAGUUGGUAGAGCGCUUGCCGCGUUUCGGCAUGUUGUUUCCGUCGCUGGUCCGAAUCCAGCCGAAGUCC